UGUGUAUGUACAGAAGGGCUACCAGGA
rnacentral:piRNA from 1 species